AGUGGUUCCGUGCUGCCGCAAUGAGCGGCCAAAGGGCGGGCACGGCGGACACAGAGCGCACAGCGCACAGAGCAAACAUAGCGCAUAUAGCAAACAUAGCGCACAGCCGGCACUGCCGGCACAGCCGAUAUGAGGCAUCGUUGCCGGCAUCGCGGCCGGUCGGAGCUGCGCCGUGAGGCCGCUGCCGUGCAGGCCGUGCUGCGCUCUGCUGCGCUCUUCCAUCCUCCAUCCGCGGUCAAGGUCACGUCCCGCCCUCGGGCCCGAGCCGAGCUCAGGCGGGCGCGUCCCGUAGCGCCGUGCCGGUGCCGGUACCGGUGCUGGUUUGCUGACACGGUUCGGCUCGGCCCGGCCGUGCCGGCGGUGGCGCUCAGCAGCCUCGGCUGUGCCCGCGCUGUGGGCGUUGGUCGCACAAGGCCCGUGUGGCAGCAGGCCGCUGUGCUGUGCUGUGUAGUCAGGCACUGAGCCCAAACCGUGUCAAUAAUCCACACCUGUUGGGCUCUAAGGUUCUUCCACAACGUAUUUUCUUGCUGUUAUUUUGUUCUAAAUCUUUUUACCAAACAGAAUCAUUUUGCUGCACUCUUCACGUUUCACAUCACGUCCAAAGCCUGUUUUUUAUAUAGCAGCAUGAGGAGCUCUGCCUCUUGCCGUACCCCUCCACUCAGACACGGAGCACGCAGCCACUGGGGGAUGAUAACGCCUUGUGAGCGAUAACUGCAGAGCAACGAUAGGGCAGUCGGACUGUAACACUCAGUAAAGGCUGUGUGGGAUUCAGGCACUGUGUGUCAGCACAGCCAUGCCCUGCCCCUCGCAUUCAGCAGCUGUGUCUACGCGUGCUAGCCGUUCCCCCGGCCCUUUGUCUCUCUCUUCUUGACGAUAGUGCUGCUGUGGGGAAAAAUAGAGAGGCAGAACAACAGGAUAUUGUCCGCUUCUGGUCCCUGUGCCAACGGUGACAAAAUGUUGUUUUCUCUGUGGUUUUGGGAUUCUGGUUGGCUUUUAUUACUCGUGGCUGCGCCUGAACGCGUGGAGAUUUGUUUUUAAAUACUUGCAGUUAUUGUGGAAACCUUGAGUCCCUGGGUGGAAGGUGGUGCCCCGUGGCUGCACACGGACGUUCCUGCUCUGGAGGAUGAUCCCCUGACCCGUGCAGAGGAAAAGAGGAGCUCAGCUGUCAGGCACAACAGGAAGGAGUGCGGUGCUGCGGUUCACUGGGAUGACACCUGCAGAGCUGCCGCAGGCGUGGAAUUGAGCCACGGGCUGUACAGUGCUGCUGGGGGAGCCGCGCUGCUGCACCAAUCUCGUGCCAAACCACAGUGCUGUGCUGGCUCCCGUUCUCCUUUUCUGACACCUGUAGUGAGUCUGAAGCACGCUGCAACACAGACUAAUGCAGCAAGUUCUGAAGUGAAGAGGGCAUGGACCUGCGCUGAAUAAGCCCUUUUAACCAUCAGCAUUGCAGGCCAGGGACACGAGCUGCAAAUGUGCCGGGGCUGCCAAGCCGGGAGCUGGCUGCACACCAGCACUUGAAGGACGAGCAGUGGGACGCCUGUGGAGGCACAGGUACACGGUAUACCUGUCAGAUACUGUCUGUGAUCUUUACCUGUGAAUCUACAGAAGCGAUUCCUUCCUAAACUCACUUCAGAGAAAUAAUUCAAUAAGGAGACCUUACGACCUGCUGAAAAGAUACAAUGACUGAGUUCCUGGUUUGCUUUAACUGGUGCAAUGAAGAGGCAUCAGCGAUUGGACCGGAACAUGAUAGGAGAACCGAUGAACUUUGUUCACAAUGCACAUGUGGGGAUAAGAGAGAUGAGUGGUGACUUCUCAUCAGUAAGUGCGCAUUCUUGGGCUGUAUCAAUUCAGGACCACAUGAAAUCUAAAGGUGGCUACACAAACGGCACUUCUACAGCUGCUGAGCUAUAGGAAAUUGAAAGAAGGCUGACAUCUGCUCUGUCUUACAAAAGUCUCCUGGACUGUGCUUUCAGAUUCACUAAAACCUCUUUAUCAUGGAGUAUAGAGAGUACUUAAAUUCUAAUAGGUCAGUGCAAGCUUUUGCGUUCUUUGCACAAUAGCUUCUGAAGGAGUUACUGUAAAUUACCCUGGAAGUGGUCUUGGCGGUGCUGUAGUAGCAAUUGUAGUUUGUCACUGUAGAUGACUUCCUAACUGUGUCCCAAAAACCUCAAAUUUGCCUUGUAGGAUGGGAUAGGAAGGCAGUUUGAAUUGCCUGGGGUUUUGGUUUGUCUUUCUCUUCAAAAAUGCAGAGACUGAUUUUAUUUGAAAGACAAGAUGUUUGCACUUCUUACAUGGGAUAGAUUGAAUUUCUAGGUAGUAUCUCAGUCUACAAUACAACUUUUGACCUAAUUCUUGGAUCAUUUACAACCUGAGACAUAAUUCAACUGAGCAGUGAUUUGGGGUUUUUUCUUGUUUGAUUGUUUUAUUUCUCCGAGGCUUUUGAUAGUGAACAAACUCUAGUUUAGUCUGCAAAAACUAGUGGAACUUCUGCCUUCUGUGAUAAAGAUUUUAUAGUUAAAAAUGCAAGUUUUGCAGACCAACCAACUCAGGAAAACGAGCAUUUCUCUUAACUACUCCCCUCCUCAAAGUGUAACUGAUGGGUGUUAAUGCAGCAAUGCUAAUAACAAUAUGCUCCCCAGUGUAUGCUAAUUUUGCACAACUGCUAUUGAAUUUUAAACAAAACCUACUUUAAUAUCACUCAAUUAUAACCUAUCUAUAGCAAUAGCUUUACAGAAUUUGAAGGGAUAUCUCCAGAUUCUGCCUUCUUAAUUUCAACACUCUUCUCUCAGAUGAAGUUUUUAUUAUAUGUGGUUUUUACUUAAAGUAUGGUUUAAGUGACAGAGACAGGAGAAUAUUAAACGGAAACUGCCGGAGACUUUCAGCACUUCAUAAAUACAAAUAUUUAGGCAUACCCACACUACAGUUUUUCACUUAGUUCUUAUUAAUAUUUCUUUUAAGUGAUAUGCUAAAACUAGUGAAAUAGAGCUAGAUUUCUCUCUUAUCCAAUCACUGACAACUGCUCUCUGACAAAAUUAUGAGUGAGUAUUGGGGUAGAGACUUUGGAAAUUUGCUUGCUGUCAUAGGAUUAACUAAAUACAAGUGUUUAAAUUACUGAAAAAUCUGCACCAGUUAUAUUGUAAGUUACUGGAACUCUUCCCUUCUUGCUGCAGGCAUAAGGUCAGCCAUCAACCCUUUGUCAUUAGAAAUAAAAUAUUUGCCAGCUAGGUUUUCUUGCGAGGGAGAUUUUUAAUAGUAUGAUUCUGUUUAUGGCUUAUGAGGCUUAUGAUACUGCUUCAAUCUGAACGCUUGGCUUUGCUAUAGUUUUGUGCUGCAAAGCAUGUAAUACAGUGUAUUAGGGAGGUCAGAACAUGAAAGGUAGUUCUGUGUUUCUGUGUGUGUUCCCAAAAGAAACUUUUUCCCCAUGCUUCCUUCCCAUAUUUCAUCUUCAAGGACUAAAGAGGAAGAGAAUGUUACUUAAUACUCAACAGCUGAUGGUCACAUUCAGCAACCACAUCAAAUAGAAUGUUAAUAUCCAUGUCUUGCUACAUCCUUACUUUUGAACUAGAAUACAUGUGAUAUUUUAAUACCAUUUAAAAUCAGCAUGUUAAUCAUGAAUGUAGCUUUUUAAACACUUUCAUAUUUCUGUCUUCUAACCUCAGACUCAUUCCAGCAACCUAGUUAGGAUGCAGAGUUCAAAGAAGCUAAAUUCUAUAGACUGUUGAGAAAGCUCAAGUUAUCGUAAAAGAUAAAUUCUAACUAAUCUGCUAUUAAAUUGAAUUUAUGUGUUCAUUAGUCUGUACUUACCCAGAAAGAGCAGUGAGAGAAGAGCUGUGAUGAAGAAAAUGGGUUGUAUUUUCUUAAUGUUAUAAGAAAACAAGCCGGAGAAGAAUUAGUACAUCCUGAAGACCCAUUCUGUGUAUUUUUAAGAUAAGGGUGUGGUGUAUGCAUAACUAGAAGUAAAGAAGUCAGGGAUCAUGUCAGUUCUCAUGGCUAAAAAUACACAGACAGAUAAUCUUGUUAUUAAACUUGUAGGAAAAUCCCGGUCUUCAUUCUAUAAACCAAGCAGUGCUACCUGGUACAAAGCUCAUCUUCAUCACACUGUACGGUAUUAACAAGGACCACAUAUAAGUAAACUUAGUAGUCCUGUUAUUAAAGGAAAUGUUUUGCUGUUGCAUUAAAGGUGCCAUUAUUUUUUAAAUGUAAACAAGCAUAAAAGCAUGUCUCAGGCUUUUUCUUUGUUGUAUAAUUAGAAGCCUUAUUUAGCUGUAGUCUCUCAUGUAACGCAGUAUAAACCAAACUAGGUCAUAAUAAAUCUGUUGACAGAGGCACUGCACUCCGUUCAUACAGUGAAUUUCUUGGUAUUUUUCUCUGCACUGAAAAUCUGUUGGUCAGGUAGAUGAAUUAACAUGGCUUGCAACUUUACUGCGCAGAAUCACAUUUCUCCACUAGAGAGCACAGUUUGCCAUCGAGUCUGUUCUGUCACUGCUCUAUACAAGUUGUUAUGCCAGCAUGGAGUGUUGUUGAUUAUUUUAUUUCAGCCAAGUUAAAAUGAAAAAGAAAAAAGAGUGAAUGACACCAAAGGAUCAAACUUGUCCAUCUGCCUUGUAGGCUGUGAUUAAGUUACACCAACAGUGCAGAGUGGCGCUGAAAGUUGCUGCUGUGAGUGAAUGGCAUUUUUAUCAUUUCUUUUUCAUACUCAGAAAUAAAGUAACUUCUGAGCAGAGCAGGAUUGAAUCUUUCAUAUGGAGUCUGUCAGAGUCUCAGUGCUGUCUCUGCAUAUCAUCUGAGUGGAGGAGAGCAGCUGUGAUUUCAAAUGCGUGACGUCCCUGCUGUACUUUACUGACAAUUCCAUGCUGUUGACUAAGCUUACAGUCAACUUUUAGAAAAGGUAUUUUGCUUUUCCACAACCGAACAUGUCCUCUUAUCUCUUGCUGUGGCCUUGUAGAAAUUGCAUGGCAUUACUCUACAUUCCAAGUUGUCCUGUGAUGUGGUAGCUUGUAACCCAUGCAGUAGGGCUAUUGCUUUGUAUGGCUUUGCCAUGUUGGACUGCCAGGUGGUUCAGUAGCUUCCAGUCUGCAUAGACAAGAAUUGCAAAGAACAAGACAAGAAGCGAAAUUUAACAAUAUGAAUUUCCAUGGAGCCAUGGUUGCAAAAUUUAUUACCUGUUACUAAAUACAGUAACAUUACAAGAAAUCACAUCUGCCACUUGAAGACGAUUGCGUGGCUGCUUGAUUGUCUUUGGAUGUACUUUGUUAUUAUCACUGUGACACUGCCAUAAAAACUUAACAGUGAAAGAUAAGAAUGCAUUGUCUGCCUCUUAAAACUGCUGUGUAGAGAUGAGGUGAACAAGGGGAAAAAAUAGUGCUGUGUUACAGGUGUGUCAGUAAGAUGUCCUCCUGUGAGUGGGAUCCUGUAGGGCUUCCAGACGGUUUGUGGUUCUUAAAGCACUAUGCUGUAAAAUCAUUCAGAUACAGUUAGACAGUUAUAUAGGAUAUUACUAUUACAUAUUAGGAUAAUACGAGGUAGAAGCUAGAUCUUCCCUCCUUGUGUUUCUUUGUAUUUUCUUUUCUCAAGAGAGGAAACUCUUCAGUGGGACUAGUUAAAAGGAAUACUGGCUGUACACUGACUUGCACAGUUUAGUAGAGUGUGUUUCUAGUUGGGGUUGUGGUGGUCAGCUUUCAGUUCUUAAAUCUGUAAUGCAGAUAAGGAAGAGUUAACAUCAAAGGUGUGGAGCCCUGAAAUAAAAAUUGUUCUGGUUGAUCAUUGCAGGUUGGCAGCAAGGCAGAAAAUGAAGACAAACCAUAAAUAGAACAAUGAUUUUAGAAAAGCAAGGCUACCUGGAAUAAAUCGUUUAUAGAUAUAAUCCACAUUUCAAAAAAGGGGAGACUCUGCAUUUUAACUCUUUGCAAUUGUAGAACCACUCUUACUAUGUAUCUUUCUGCAUUAAUAUAUGGGCUAACUCAGUAGAUUUUAGACUCAGAGUGGCAUUUAAUGAUUCAAAUUCACAAUUUUAGAUGCUUCUGUCUAUACCCAAAGUUCCUGAGCACCUAAGGAGGUGCUCUGUGUCUACAGGCAAACUACAGCAAUGGCACGUAAGGCCCAGGCUGCUUCUGUCAGUGGCUUCCCUGUUGAUAUUCACGUGGUUACAGUGUGUAUAUAUAAGAAGUUUCCCAGUACUGUGCAGAAUGCGAUCUUUCUAAGAACUGGCCUGUUGGAGAGUCGUUUCUUCAACUGAGCCUUAAGGUAUGGAUUUUGAUUUAUCGCCACAUGCAGCUGUGAGCCAGGGUUGUGUUUUGCUACAUGAAAGAAUAAAGUCUCUUUGUUUAUUGCUUAGUUCCUUAUACUUUAGAGAAGGAAGUGGGAGAGGCAAGUACAGGAACCACAGAAAAAAUGAGAUAGACAAGGGAAGCAGAUGUAGAAGCCAUGGAGAAAUACUGUGGUAUAUGUAUAUGAGGAAGGAGCAGAGAGCAGACUGUGUGCAAGUUAAUGUUCAUUUCCUAUCAUGCACAGGACAGCUUUCUUAAUAUCAAUGUGGAAAAUUGGUAAGGUGUGUACAAUUAGUAUAUGGAGGAAAUUGGGCACUUAAAUGCAUGACUAAGCUGGGACUUUAUACCCUUCUACUUGCACUGUUUAAUGUGAUGCUGACUGCCAAUGCCAUGCCAAUGGCCGCUGGUGUGCCUUUUCUGCAGCGUCUUCAGCUCAUAUGGAGAAAGCCCAAAUGCUCUUUCUGUGUGCAGCAGUUGCUGACUGAUGGCAUGUGUGAGUUUGGAAGACAGGACAGCAUUCUUUUUUCUAACAAAUGUGAGCUGCUGUAACAGCUGAGGCAGAAUGCUGAGGCCUGCUGUGCCCACCACAGCCUGCAUGAAUACCAAGCAAAGAAAACUUAGAGUUAAAAUAAGUGGUGCUAAAGGGUAUUUGACUUCAGUUUACAGUGCUGCCAGAAUCUCAGGGAAAUUAACUGGAUCAAUCUGGUGCUCAGUUUCCAGGCAUUGGAAAAGUGUGGACAGGUUGGAGCUGAAAGGUGAUGGAGACUUCCUCCUGUCUGAGGGGGUCUGAGUGAUGUUCUGUGCUCACUGUGGGCUGAGAUACCAGGAGGUACCUACAACAGCUUUCAGCCAGACCUCUGCUCCUGAUGCUGUGCAAAGAAAGGAAGCAUGAAAGAAACCAGUGAGGGCACUUCUGAGUGGGGAGGGCAUUACCACUGUGUGUUCUUGUGCCAAAAGAGCACACAGCGUGAGGUGCUUGAUACUGAGCGAGGACUGCUGUCUUCUCCUGGAAGCUUCCAGCUGAGCAAAAUCAUGUUAGAAUUAAGAAUUGUGCCCUUUCAGGGAGUCUGGGGUGCUGGCACUCUCACGGCUCUGUAUCACAUCUACUCAGUGCUAAUGAACUAAUUAAACAUUGCAGUAUGGCUACUGAACAACUUGUUCUGUUUUUGUGCGCCCUGUCACAGAAAUGUAGCUGAAAUGGGAAGUUUUCUUAAUCUAGUUUUAAUGCUGUUUAGGAGAGACUUGUCACAGACAGACAAGAACACUGAUUUUCAGCUCCAGGCACAAUUCAGCUCAUCAUCUGAACUGUGAGUUCAGGGCAACAAAGCUGUUCUGAAACUCUGCUCAGACAGCCUGUUCUGAAUUCUAUUAAAUCAAGGUAAAAUUGGUGUCAUAAGAAUCUUAUUCCCAUUAUGUGUUUCCUCAGAUACUUCCAUGUAAAUCCAAUGUGGACAAAGCCAAGGUUUUUUUUAUUUCCAGAUGUCCACCUUUAUUCAGGAAAAAGAAAUUCAAGAUGAAUUCUAUCUUUUAUUGUUAAUUUUCUCAGAUUUUGAACAAUCCAUCCAAUACUGGAUGGAAUAUUUAAUUGCAUAUAUAAUACAUGGUUAAAUGUGUAUGUAGACAGACCUUGCGUCUUAAGUAAUGUGGAAGAAAAUAAUCCAUUCUUUUACACUGAAACAAGUUUGUCUGGCUUAGUGAAGGGUAGGAACUGAACUCAAGGCCACUUCUGCACUUUCUGGGUGUGCUGAUAGAGCUGACAUUGGCCCAUACAAGUGGAUGACUAAUUUUAGAUACUUCGUCAAAUAAUUAGAAAAAGUGUUUGAUUAUAGGAUUUUUUGUGAUGGUGUAUUUACAUGCAUCUGAUCCUGCUGGUCCUUAAGAAAGAUGUGGACCUUUCACAUCACUUGCUUGACCAGAGGUGAAAAGAAACUAUUCAGAUAAUGAGUAAUUAACCUCUUCAUAGUGAGCUGUCUGAAACUAAGGAUUUGUAGAUCAAUCAAAGCAAUCCCACUUUCUGUAGAUAUAAAUCUAUUAAAAAUAAUAUCUGUAAGCUUGUAGGUUGAGCCUCAGGAAGUGCUAAAGCUGCAAAUUAGUAGAGAAAGUAGCGUGCUUUUAAAUGCAGUUAUCCGUGUUUACCCACACAGUCUCUACCAUCAGGGAAGAUUAAAACCUGACUCAAUACCUUUGAGGGUAUGACACAAACUUGAAAAUAUAAUUCAGAAGUAAGGCUUCCAGUGCUUCCUUAAUGCAUGCUAAUGUGACCUUGCUGCAUAAUGGCAUGUGAGGAAGGCUUUCCCUAGUUGCUCUUAACUACUUUAAACAUUACCUUUGAAAACACCAUUUAAAUUGGCUGUUUUCUCUGCUGUAUAAUGUCCAGCAAACUAAGGCACCUCUUGAUAGUGUAGAUUAACAUUAACUGAUGCUCAGAUAAGGCUGUUAGCACAUGGGGAGAAGUUGCUAGAUGCGUGUUUGUAUGAGUAAAUAAUGCUUAACUGCCAGCAUUACUGUGUUUUGGAUCAUUUUAUUGAGAGGAGAUGAAGAUGUCAGGCUGUUCUGUAUGUUCUCCUUUUUGCCGUGUGGGUACAUCUCUCAGAGAUGGCAUCUUCCAAAAACAAUGUUCCCCGUGUCACUUUAAUCAAGAGGUUUCACUGUGAAAGAGACAAGACUUUCUCGGGUGGUAGAAUUUGCUUUGGUUGAACCGCUUCCUUUUUCGUGCCACCUGCUUUAUUUUGCCCUAUUACUCUGCCCUUUGCUUAGUUUUCCUAUGAAUAUAUUUAUGUUGAGUGUUUGAGUCUCUGUUCUCUCUUAGUUCUUAGAAAUUAACACAUUAAAAAUUCAGUCCUUUUGAAGCCUGUGUGUUAAUUAACCCCGAAUCCCUGCAUUACUGAUUUUUAAUGAAAUAACUGUUCAAUGUGAAAAGUCUAGUCUCUUAAUUACAAUGUUAGCCCUUUAAACAUCAUGCAUUGUAUUUUCUUUUGAGUGUUUGAUGCUGAUAGCCACCCUUGUAAGUCGCCUACCUAACGAGGCAACAAUCUUCUGUUUACAGUAUUUCACUCAAAAUUAGUGGAUAGUAACUUGAAUUUAACAGCAGAACAGAUUGAAAUGGAUGGAGAGAUAUAGGAAAAGGAGCAGAAAAGACAAGUUGGUUGGGAUAAGCUUAUUUAAAAGCUAAGCUGAUAUGCAUGAAAAAGAAUACCCCAUAAAGCGGCUCCCAGUGCAACUGGAGAAUCAGGAGAAUGGCAUUGGAAUGGAAAAUGUUUCGGAUGCAUUUCCUAAUGUGCAAAAUAAUUUGUGUUCAGAAGUGUGUGCACGUUGUGGAAAACAGGCAGGUGGAAGGAAGGGGUAAUUUCAUGAUCUCUUCAAAAAGGAUUACAAUAUAUGCAUGUUAUUAUUCAAACAAUUUCUUCUCUGUGCUAAUGGCUAUUUAGCUUAGUUUCUGCUUUCAAACGAAUGUGCUCAAAACCUGCUUUAGAUGUGUCUGUUCCUAAAGCUUUGAAAUGCUGCAGGAAUGCCUGAGUCAUUACAGGAUUUAUUUCAUGUUAAUGUUUGGCUUAGGGAAGGGAUUUUUCUGAGAGAGUUGUUUCUGUUAUUUUCUUUGAUGGAUGUAAUUAUGGCAGUUCCGGAAGGAUGCAGUUCUUGGGGUGGUUUGUUGGUAUCUGAUGCUGCUUAGGUAGAAGCUGUGGGCAGGAGUUUCCCUCCUUGCUAUAUCCAAAAUAAGGAAUUUCAGAUUGAAUACUGGGGGUGUGGGAAGGGGGAAGGAAUCUUAUAGGCCUUGAAGUCAUUCUCCAGCUUCAGAAGGUCUUUGCAACCUAAUUUUCUUCUGUCUGGUGUUAGACAUAACCGUCAUUUUUUUUUCUCGUUCUGCUGAACUUUGACACUAUGUUACCUGUUUUGAUUUCUGGUUAAAUGUUAAAGCUAACAUUAAAUUUAGGGACUGUUUAAAUUGCCAAUAAAGAUUUCCAAGGAGGAUA